rnacentral:rRNA from 1 species
UUCCGGUUGAUCCCGCCGGAGGUCACUGCUAUCGGGGUUCGAUUAAGCCAUGCGAGUCGAGAGGGUUCAGACCCUCGGCGGACUGCUCAGUAACACGUGGAUAAUCUGCCCUAUGGUGGAGGAUAACCCCGGGAAACUGGGGAUAAUACUCCAUAAGUCAGGAGUACUGGAAUGUCUCCUAACUGAAAGUUUCGGCGCCAUAGGAUGAAUCUGCGGCCGAUUAGGUAGUUGUUGGGGUAACGGCCCAACAAGCCCGUAAUCGGUACGGGUUGUGGGAGCAAGAGCCCGGAGAUGGAAUCUGAGACACGAUUCCAGGCCCUACGGGGCGCAGCAGGCGCGAAAACUUUACAAUGCAGGAAACUGUGAUAAGGGAACCCCGAGUGCCCRUACACGCGGGCUGUCCCGGUGUUUAAMACACAUCGGAAGAAAGGGCCGGGCAAGACCGGUGCCAGCCGCCGCGGUAAUACCGGCGGCUCGAGUGGUGACCACUUUUAUUGGGCUUAAAGCGUUCGUAGCUUGAUUUUUAAGUCUCUUGGGAAAUCUCACGGCUUAACUGUGAGGCGUCUAAGAGAUACUGGGAAUCUAGGGACCGGGAGAGGUAAGAGGUACUUCAGGGGGUAGAAGUGAAAUUCUGUAAUCCUUGAGGGACCACCGAUGGCGAAGGCAUCUUACCAGAACGGCUUCGACAGUGAGGAACGAAAGCUGGGGGAGCGAACGGGAUUAGAUACCCCGGUAGUCCCACCCGUAAACUAUGCGCGUUAGGUGUGCCUGUAACUACGAGUUACCGGGGUGCCGAAGUGAAAACGUGAAACGUGCCGCCUGGGAAGUACGGUCGCAAGGCUGAAACUUAAAGGAAUUGGCGGGGGAGCACCACGACGGGUGGAGCCUGCGGUUUAAUUGGAUUCAACGCCGGG